AACGCAUAUUGCGCCCCUUGUUACAGAGGGGCAUGCCUGUCUGAGUGUCUUUUAAACCAUAGGCUUCGGUCUGUUUUGGGCCUCGCGCCUCUGCGUGGCCUCAAAGUCAUUGCUGUCGAGCGGACGGGAUCCAUUAGGAUGGCGCCGCCUCGACUCUUGCGACACUCUCUGACGGACCUCAGAUCAGGUAGGACGACCGCCUGAACUUAA
rnacentral:misc_RNA from 1 species